AGUGAACGCUGGCGGUAUGCCUAACACAUGCAAGUCGAACGGCAGCACAGUAAGAGCUUGCUCUUACGGGUGGCGAGUGGCGGACGGGUGAGGAAUACAUCGGCAUCUACUUUUUCGUGGGGGAUAACGUAGGGAAACUUACGCUAAUACCGCAUACGACCUACGGGUGAAAGCAGGGGAUCUUCGGACCUUGCGCGAUUGAUUGAGCCGAUGUCGGAUUAGCUAGUUGGCGGGGUAAAGGCCCACCAAGGCGACGAUCCGUAGCUGGUCUGAGAGGAUGAUCAGCCACACUGGAACUGAGACACGGUCCAGACUCCUACGGGAGGCAGCAGUGGGGAAUAUUGGACAAUGGGCGCAAGCCUGAUCCAGCCAUGCCGCGUGGGUGAAGAAGGCCUUCGGGUUGUAAAGCCCUUUUGUUGGGAAAGGAAAGCAGCAGGUUAAUACCCCGCUGUUCUGACGGUACCCAAAGAAUAAGCACCGGCUAACUUCGUG
rnacentral:rRNA from 1 species